rnacentral:rRNA from 1 species
UUAAAUUUAAAUCUUGUUUUAUAUUUUAUUUUUUUUAUUUUUUUAUAAAAUUAUUUUUUUUGUUAGUAUUGUUAAGUGAAAUUAUUAUUUUUACUAUAGUUAAUAUUACUGUGAAGGAAAUUUUUAAUUUUUGUAGAAGCAGAUUUUUUUUGUUGUACCUUUUGUAUCAGGGUCUAUUAACUUAAAAUUAAUUAUUAUUAAUUUUCCCGAAAUUAAGAGAGUUAUGUUUAAAUGAUAGUUUACGUUUUAUAGUAAUUUUUAAUUUAUACAUAGAGGUUAUAUGCUAUUCAAUUUUAAAUAUCUGGUUGUUUAAUAUAUUAAUUUAAUUAAGACUAUUAUUUUGUUAAUUUAAAAAUUUAUUUUUUUUAAUUUUAAUAGUUAAGAUUUUAGGGGAUAAGCUCUAUUUUAGUUUUAUAAUCUACAGGUGUUUAAGGCUUAGUAGGCUUGACAACAGCCAUCAUAUAUUUCGUUAUAGUUAAUUCUUUUAUUUAUUUAAUUUAGUUUAGAUUUAAAUUUUUAUUAAACUUUUUAUUUUAAUUAUCUUUUUAAAGUGAUAAUGAUAGAAUUAGUAGUUUUGAAUAUUUAAAUAUAGUAAUUCGGCAAUUUUAAUUCCCGCCUGUUUAACAAAAACAUGUCUUAUAGAUCUUAAUUUUAAGUCUAAUCUGCCCGGUGAGUUAUUAAACGGCCGCAGUAUAUUGACUGUGCGAAGGUAGCAUAAUCAUUUGUCUUUUAAUUGAAGGCUAGUAUAAAUGAUUGGACGAGGAAUUGACUUUCUUUAUUUAAUUUUUAUUAAUUUGAUUUUUGAGUUAAAAAGCUUAAAUUUUUUUGCAAGACGAGAAGACCCUAUAGAAUUUUAUUUUUAUUUGUUUAUUUAUUAAUUGGUAAAUUAAUUUUAGGUAAAUUAAUAAUAAUUUUGUUGGGGCGACAGUGAAAUUCAAUUAACUUUCAUUUAUUUUAUUCAUUAAUUUAUGUAUUUUUGAUCCUUUAUUAUGGAUUAUAAGAUUAAAUUACCUUAGGGAUAACAGCGUAAUUUUUUCAGAGAGUUCUUAUCGAUGAAAUAAGUUUGCGACCUCGAUGUUGGAUUAAAGUAAGUUUUUGGUGUAGGAGCUUAAUAACUAAGUCUGUUCGACUUUUAAUUCUUUACAUGAUCUGAGUUCAGACCGGCGUGAGCCAGGUUGGUUUCUAUCUGCAAUUUUUAUAUUAUAUUUUAGUACGAGAGGACCAAAUAUAAGUAAUAUUUAUUUUUAUUUGAUUAUUAUUA